UCCCCCAGCGUGGUGGCUGCUUCUAUCUCCCC
rnacentral:piRNA from 1 species